rnacentral:tRNA from 1 species
UCCGGUGUAGCCAAACGGUAAGGCGGCGGCCUGUUAAGUCGACGAGUGGAGGUUCGAUUCCUCCCACCGGAGC